AUGUUGAAUGGUAACAUAAUCUUUUUUAUAAAAUCCUUAUAUUUACAUCUUGUUAAAACUGAUCUUGGCUUUCCACAUAAAUUUCUGUGGAAGGUUAAGGUGCCUGCAAAAAUUAAAUUUUUCCUCUGGCUCUUGAAUAAAAAAAGUAUUCUGACCAGAGAUAAUUUGCUAAGAAGAGGGUGGAAAGGAGACAAGCACUUUGUGUUCUGUGGGAAAGAGGGGAAUAUUAACCACCUUUUCUUCUCUUGCUCGGUUGCUAGACUUAUUUGGAGCUUGGUAGGGUGUGCAUUUGAUCUUAAAAAAAUUCCUAAAGACACAAAUGACUGUUUUGGAAGCUGGUUAAACAAAUUUAACAAAGAGGACAAGAAAAUGGUCCUAACUGGUACAUCUGCCCUCCUUUGGGCGAUUUGGAAUUGUAGAAAUGAUAUUGUGUUUGGCAGGAAGAAUAUAAAUGACCCGAUUGGGAUCGUUUAA
rnacentral:rRNA from 1 species